rnacentral:rRNA from 1 species
AGUGAACGCUGGCGGUAGGCCUAACACAUGCAAGUCGAACGGCAGCACAGUAAGAGCUUGCUCUUACGGGUGGCGAGUGGCGGACGGGUGGGGAAUACAUCGGAAUCUACUUUUUCGUGGGGGAUAACGUAGGGAAACUUACGCUAAUACCGCAUACGACCUACGGGUGAAAGCAGGGGAUCUUCGGACCUUGCGCGAUUGAAUGAGCCGAUGUCGGAUUAGCUAGUUGGCGGGGUAAAGGCCCACCAAGGCGACGAUCCGUAGCUGGUCUGAGAGGAUGAUCAGCCACACUGGAACUGAGACACGGUCCAGACUCCUACGGGAGGCAGCAGUGGGGAAUAUUGGACAAUGGGCGCAAGCCUGAUCCAGCCAUACCGCGUGGGUGAAGAAGGCCUUCGGGUUGUAAAGCCCUUUUGUUGGGAAAGAAAGGCAGCAGGUUAAUACCCCGCUGUUCUGACGGUACCCAAAGAAUAAGCACCGGCUAACUUCGUG